UCCAUAGAUGUGGUAAAGGGCAUAAUCACAAAUACCUUUUGGGGAUCCAACGUCUCUGAUUUCUCAGACCAUUUAAGCGAUUCAAAUUUGGCAAUUUCUCCUCCCACCGCAGCAGAUGCCGUAAAUUUGAUAUAGGAAUUGUGACAUUUUGCUAUCGAUGAUCUCUGCACAAUCGAUCUGAAUUUCUUUUUCUGGGAUAUUAUUAUAGAUUAUAUUAUAUAGAUAGAUUUAUCGAGUGUUAUAGCAUAAUGGACAAGAAUUUCAGCGCCGAAGAUCUGUCUACUAUCGGAGGAAUCGCUACCGUUUCGCUUCUUCAUUCCUUCAUCCCAACGCAUUGGCUUCCCUUCUCCAUUGUUGGCCGCGCCCAGAAAUG
rnacentral:misc_RNA from 1 species